rnacentral:rRNA from 1 species
UACGUAGGGGGCAAGCGUUGUCCGGAAUUAUUGGGCGUAAAGAGCGUGUAGGCGGUCCGGUAAGUCGGCUGUGAAAGUCCAGGGCUCAACCCUGGGAUGCCGGUCGAUACUGCCGGACUAGAGUUCGGAAGAGGCGAGUGGAAUUCCCGGUGUGAGCGGUGAAAUGCGCAGAUAUCGGGAGGAACACCUAUGGCGAAGGCAGCUCGCUGGGACGUUACUGACGCUGGAGACGCGAAAGCGUGGGGAGCGAACAGG